rnacentral:lncRNA from 1 species
AUUUUUGGAUCUAAAGGAAUCCAUCACAUCUGACCUUCCGUCCGUAACAUUUCUACAAACCUGUUCUCCUUUGGGUGAGGAAACUCUCUUACUAACUGAAAAUCGAAAUAGGAUACUAACGAUCAACAAAAAUAUGAAUUAUAACUGAUCGCGCUCUUCCUAAAUAUAAGUUCGCCCAGCCCAAGUUUCAAUCUUCUUCCCUCCACCACAAAACUUGUACAAAUUUCAGCCAGAUGCAGUCUGAUGAAAUCCCCAAUACAACUUUCUGGAAACAGCAAAAUGGUAGCAAUAAAUAUAAAGGAGAAGCAAAAAGGAGCUAAAAGAGCUAAAUUUUAUACAGCCUACCUCGGAGCAAUGAAGAAGAAGUUUCCCAAUAAUUGAGACUAUAUCAUUCAAUCGAGGGCUGCUGUCGGCGAUGCCUGGUAUUUCGAGAGACGGAGACGAGUAGAGAGCUGUGGGAGAAACUCAGAGCGAGAUCGGGGAUGAGCUGUUCAGGUUUGGGCUGGGUAAUGAUUUUAAAUUUUUUAUUUUUUAUUUUUAUUUUUUUUUGAGUGCAAAAAUUUGUUUUGGGCUUAGGC